UUUAUUUCCUUUUUAAUGUUUCUGCAUUAACAUAUACUCUCUCGAAAGUAGAAAGAAUGGGUGUGUCCGAAAUCGCGCACCUGGGCACUUUUAGUGCGCAAUUUUAGGGCGUAGUGCGUUCACACUGACAACUAAGCUAAAAUUCAGUGCACUGAGACUCUCUUGAGAAAACGCAGGGCAGAAUGUUGGACACUACUCGCACUAAACGGACGCCAUUUUGACUACGUAGCGGAAGGGGAGGGACUUUCGGCAAGUUUUCAGAGUUGAAUUAAGGCGGACAAGAACAUUAAUAAAAUUAUUUUACUGAUGUAUACUGCGGUGUGUAGCCUGUCACUCUCUGACGACAGUUAUAGAUACUUUGAGUUUGCGAUUAUAUCGACUUAGAAGAGUUCGCACACGUAAAUGUUAGCAGUUUUUUAGCCGGUUAGGCGGUCGUAGAUAGGUUAUAUACACGCAAAUAAAACCACAAGGAAAUUCAUUGUAAACAAAACACGGCAGAUAUUUUGGCGCGCUCGAGAAUCGCGAUCAAAUGCUAGUCCGUCACUUCCGGUAAGUGCAGAACGUUAGUGUUCCAUUUAGGACAGCACUUACCUAUGGUAGUGUGCACUACAGAAGGAAGUGCGCACUACGCACUACAUCUCAGUGCACUGACGCAAGUGCGCGAUUUCGGACACAGCGAAUAUAUUUGUAACAUUGGCGUGUGAGUUUUUAAACACGCCCGUUUCCGGUCGCGGUUUGGUGACGUCAACCCGCUGUGUCCCUGCCUUCAAGUCAUGUAGGAAAAAUCGUAAAAAGGAGCCCUGGACUCCUAUACGUCUACGUGCAAUCAAAUGAACUAAACAGCCCCGGGGAAAGAGGCAGAUGUUCUUUGGAAGACAUCGGCACGCGACUGCCCUCUACUCUGCUGAAGCAUUCAAUUGAAUCUCAGCAUCAGUCUACCCCCACCCUCCAGCAUGCACACAUACGCACCCUCUGUGGUGCACCGGCCACUCCCAAAUAACAUCCCCCAAUUGGCUUCCUGCCUGACCCCAGCAACAAACAGAUCGACAAUACCGUCACUCUCAGACUGGUCCUUGUCCCUGUAGAACAGCUGGCCAAAGUAAUCUGACCUAGAGACAAAAGAAUGCCUCCUCGGUCCCAGGAUCACAGCGCACCCGCGACGUCCUGAACCAAGAUUACCGACCGAGCCGGAUUAUAAUGGCGAGUAUGAUCGUUACGGUGUGAUGCAUACCAUGUCCAUGUUCCCAUGAACUCUUGAUUCACAAAAUGAAACUUAUGGCUUCCCCCACCAUAUGGCGAAGGCCAUACCGUUGCAGGUUCUUUAACAUGCUUGCAGUUCAAUUUGGCUGAAGGCUGCGUAAUAUGUAAGCGAAACAGUGGAGACAUGCAGUUGGAGGUGGAAAAAAACGCCAUUUGGUUGGGAGCAGAUGGUUGGCCGGGAGACCGGCCGCGUCUGAAGGCGUGUCCUGCCCUUCAGAUAGAAUCCCCAAGGGUUCCCCUUGUAUUCAAAAUCAAUGAAAAUUAAAGCGCUAAGAAAAGAUGAAUAGUCAGACCUCGAGUCCCUCCUUUGUUCAUCCCAGCUACUGGUGGGCAGGAGUUAAACUACAACAGCCCCCUAUAGAAACACUUAAGUUAAACAGUCUCUCCAUAGUCCACAUUGUGAAAGAGCGAGAGAGUACGAAAAAGAAGCUUUCUGCUUGAUUUAACCAAGACAGAAUCGCGUGGCAUAAAUUAAGUUUGAAAAGAAUAAGUGUACUGGGCAGGAUUCUGAAGGGUUUCACCAUGUCCUUCAGUUACGCUUUGCUGCAGAAAUCGAGAAAUGUGUGCCACGUCAAUUUAAUAAAUACCUGAUGGGUUAUGUUGAAGAAAUGACUGCCGCAUUGUUUUUCUCUUAUACGAUCUUACGCGUGUAACUUUUUUAUACAACUCCAAAAGAUUAGUUAAAAAGCGGACGCCUGAAAGCAGAGAGCAACCUGUGUUGCGCAACAGAUGAGCAUGUCAUGAGGUGGACACCAGGAAUGUUAUGGGAACGAAAUAACGAAAAUGAAAAUCAAAUUAAUGUUUUGGAAAACAUUUGUAGUUAACGUUUAUUCGAAAAUAACAAAAUAUAUUGAGAGUAUGAGAUUAAAGAUUUGUUUACUCGAAACUCUCUUGAGCGUGUCCAAGUAAACGAAUAUAGCAUAAUAUAGAGCCUUGCGUAAGUUUACAAAAAUCUUGCUACUAAAUGCCUUUGACAUCCUGAACAAUACUCUUAGAGAUCUCUUCGCUGUUAUGUAACGCAUCUCAGAAAACAAACAAAAAAAAACACUCCCAUUCUCAAAAUGAAAUUCCCGUUUCAAUUAACGCCCUAAUUAAGUAACCCCUUCUACUCACGGUGCACACACACCCGCGCGCGCGGAUUUGUAAUUAUAUCUUUGUGGGGACUUUCCAUUCAUUUCUAUGGGGAAAGCUCUAAUUACAACAUGACGACCUUAACCCAUACC